CCCCUCCAAUUUAUCGUCUUGCUCUCUCUCUCUCUCUCUCUCUCUCUCUCUAUCUUCCGAGCUUCCAGCUUGGAGUGGAGUGUCUCUCUCUCUCGUAGCCUGGGGUGUCCCAGCUUCGAAAGCCACGCAUGAUGAUCUAUGAGAUAGUUCGUGGAGAAUGAGAGACAAUUCAGAAAAAGUUGGGCUUCCAAGUUCCUGAACUUUUGUGUUAUUUUUUUCUUUUGGAGUGAGGAGGGGGGGUUCGGUAGUAUUUCUAGGGUUUUAACGAAGAAUAACCGAAUACUUUGGAGAAUGCCGACCAACAGAUCGAAAUCUGAGAAGCAUGAUGCUGCCAAGCUGCUUCGGCGGGACCCCUACGAGGUUCUCAGCGUCUCGCGGAACUCCACGGAUCAAGAAAUCAAAAGCGCCUACAGAAGGAUGGCUCUUAAGUACCAUCCUGAUAAGAAUGCAAAUGAUCCUGAAGCAGCUGAUAUGUUUAAGGAGGUCACCUUUUCCUAUAAUAUCUUGUCUGAUCCAGACAAACGACGCCAGUAUGACACAGCUGGCUUUGAGGCUGUUGAUUCAGGAAGUCAAGACUUGGAGUUAGAUCUUUCAAGUUUGGGAGCUGUGAACACCAUGUUUGCUGCACUUUUUAGUAAACUUGGUGUGCCGAUCAAGACCACUGUAUCAGCAACAGUCUUGGAGGAGGCACUUAAUGGUGUGAUCACCCUUCGCCCACUUCCAUUGGGGCAACCUAUAUCUAAGAAGGUUGAGAAGCAGUCUGCUCACUUCUAUUCUGUUACAAUAACAGAAGAGGAAGCUCGAGCUGGAUUUGUAUGUCGAGUGCAGUCGUCAGACAAAAGCAAGUUCAAGUUAUUGUACUUCGAUCAGGAAGAGAAUGGUGGAUUAAGCCUAGCGCUGCAGGAGGAAAGUGUCAAGACGGGAAAGAUCACAUCUGCUGGAAUGUAUUUUCUUGGCUUUCCUGUUUAUCGAUUGGAUCAGACGACAACUUCAAUGGCUGCUGCAAAAGAUCCUGAUGCUGCCUUCUUCAAAAAGCUGGAUGGAUUUCAGCCAUGCGAAAUAACUGAACUGAAGGCUGGCACCCAUUUCUUUGCUGUUUAUGGUGACAACUUUUUUAAAAGUGCAAGUUACACAAUAGAGGCUCUUUGUGCUGCACCUUACAGAGAAGAGAAGGAGUAUCUUAGAGCUGUCGAAGCUCAAAUUCUAACAAAAAGAGUGGAAAUAUCAAAGUUUGAAACUGAAUACCGAGAGGUUCUGGCACAAUUUACUGAGAUGACUAGUAGAUAUGCACAAGAAAUGCAAGCAAUUGAUGAGCUUCUCAAGCAAAGGAAUGAAAUACAUGCAUCGUACACAACUGCUGCUCCAAUGAAGCGGAGUACCAGUAAGAGCAAGAACAAAGGUUCCUUCAAGGAAGCCAAAGAAGAUGAAGAGGUGAGAGAGAAGAGAUCUACAACAAGGGAUCGGCCUAAGAAAAAGAAAUGGUAUAAUAUUCACAUGAAGGUUGACAAGAGAAAGCCUUGCUGAAGAGGGAAUGCUCCAGUGAAACUAAAUCAGGCAGCCUGCACUCAUAUAUCCGUUGCAAUGGUUUGGCAUCUCCACACGCAAAGUACGAGGCUAAUAAGCAAUUGCAGCAACCUAGUAUAUUGAUCUUGAUGAUUCCGCUGAAAUGGCUCAUUCUAGCAUUUCAAGGGUGACAAUAUCGCUCGUUGUAAUGUUCAGCAGCCCUUCAUUGAAGGCGUGGUGCUACAUACUUCCUAGCCUUGACCAUUAUCUUCUGCUUCAAGAAUACUUAAUGCGCACGGUUGGCCCUGUAAUCUGAAAGCAUUCCCUGCGUGAUCUUGUUGAUAAUUAGAAUCAAUGUGGAUGGCUUCGGAUGGAAACGGAAAUUAUAUAUCAUAGCUUCCUUAUUCAGAUGACUGGGAACUACAGAUUUACUCCGGAGUUCGAAAUCCUUGCAGAAAUUGUUGCCUUUUUCCUUGGGUCCAACUCAAACCGUUCGUACUUCGUAUUUCAAAGGUGCUGUUUGCUAUUUUUUUAUUUGUUUUUUAACAAUUGAAUUUUUAGAUAUAUCAUUAAACGAUUGACAGAUAAAUGAAAAAUAAAUUUUUUUGAUUGUAA